ACAUGCCUACAACAUAUCAUUAAUGCACUGGAUCCCAUUAUAAAUUCAUAGUUAAGCACACUCAUGCUAGAGUAGUAUUGGGAUGGGUGACUCCCUGGGAAGUCCUAGUGUUUGACAUGCA
rfam:Picea glauca, whole genome shotgun sequence.